rnacentral:lncRNA from 8 species
ACAUUACUCUGUCUGCCUGUCUGGACGGCAACCCUCCAGCUCCUACAGAGCGUGGAACCCCCAUCCAUCACAGCUCCUACAGAGCGUGGAACCCCCAUCCAUCACAGCUCCUACAGAGUGUGGAACCCCCAUCCGUCACAGCUCCUACAGAGUGUGGAACCCCCAUCCGUCACGGCUCCUACAGAGUGUGGAACCCCAUCCGUCACGGCUCCUACAGAGUGUGGAACCCCAUCCGUCACGGCUCCUACAGUGUGUGGAACCCCAUCCGUCACGGCUCCUACAGAGUGUGGAACCCCCAUCCGUCACGGCUCCUACAGAGUGUGGAACCCCCAUCCGUCACGGCUCCUACAGAGUGUGGAACCCCCAUCCGUCACGGCUCCUACAGAGCGUGGAAACCCCAUCCGUCACGGCUCCUACAGAGCGUGGAAACCCCAUCCGUCACGGCUCCUACAGAGCGUGGAAACCCCAUCCGUCACGGCUCCUACAGAGCGUGGAAACCCCAUCCGUCACGGCUCCUACAGAGCGUGGAAACCCCAUCCGUCACGGCUCCUACAGAGCGUGGAAACCCCAUCCGUCACGGCUCCUACAGAGCGUGGAAACCCCAUCCGUCACGGCUCCUACAGAGCGUGGAAACCCCAUCCGUCACGGCUCCUACAGAGCGUGGAAACCCCAUCCGUCACGGCUCCUACAGAGCGUGGAAACCCCAUCCGUCACGGCUCCUACAGAGCGUGGAAACCCCAUCCGUCACGGCUCCUACAGAGCGUGGAACCCCCAUCCGUCACGGCUCCUACAGAGCGUGGAACCCCCAUCCGUCACGGCUCCUACAGAGCGUGGAAACCCCAUCUGUCACGGUGUGUUAUUAGCAAUAACCGUAGUAUAGUUGAUAUGAUUCCCCAUGUUGAUAAACAGCAGCAGAGGAUUCAUCCUAAUUCUCCAGUUCAACCUGUAAACCUCCUGAGAGUCUGGGUGGAACAUCAACACGGUCUGUUCUCAUGUAGUGGCUGA